UGGGGAAUAUUGGGCAAUGGGCGAAAGCCUGACCCAGCAACGCCGCGUGAGGGAAGAAGGCCUUCGGGUUGUAAACCUCUGUCCUUGGUGACGAAAAAAAUGACGGUAGCCAAGGAGGAAGCCCCGGCUAACUACGUGCCAGCAGCCGCGGUAAUACGUAGGGGGCGAGCGUUGUCCGGAAUUACUGGGCGUAAAGGGUGCGUAGGUGGCCUUUUAAGUUGGAUGUGAAAUACCCGGGCUUAACUUGGGGGGUGCAUCUAAUACUGGAGGGCUAGAGUGCAGGAGAGGGAAGCGGAAUUCCUAGUGUAGCGGUGAAAUGCGUAGAUAUUAGGAGGAACACCAGUGGCGAAGGCGGCUUUCUGGACUGUAACUGACACUGAGGCACGAAAGAGUGGGGAGCAAACA
rnacentral:rRNA from 1 species